AGGGAGGGGAGCCGGUGCUCCAAGUUGCAUCGGUGGCCACCCCGCCGCGGAGCGCAACGCCGUGCUGUGGGGUGCGCCGAAAUCCCGAGUGCGGAAACCGGGGAAGAGUUUCGUAGGCAUUGCAGCAAGGAAUGUUAGCUGAGGAAUGGAGGAUGGCAAAUAUUGUUCCAAUGUUCAAGAAAGGUAAUGGCAAUAUCCUGGGAAAUAUGGACUAGUGAAUCUUGUACCUGUGAUACAUGAAGUACCCUCCAUUCUGAAGACUGGUGUGUCCUUAUGCAACCAAGAAGAAUGUAAAUAUGAGAAUCUGACAGAAUGAGGAAAUCUUUAGCCCUGCUGAAUUUCUCUCCCUUAUUUCUCCCAGGACUGAACCUGCAUUGAAAGACUGAGUGAGUCGGCAGAAUAUUAACCAUGCAUGAAACCUGCUAAUUCAUCGUUA